GCUGGCGGCGUGCUUAACACAUGCAAGUCGCGUGCGCAGUUUCCGUAGCAAUACGGGGAUCGGCGCACGGCGCACGGGUGCGUAACACGUGGGCAAUCUGCCCUCCGAUGGGGAAUACCCCCGCGAAAGCGGGACUAAUUCCGCAUAACAUUCCUUGGACUAACGUUCGAGGAUUCAAAGCAGCAAUGCGUCGGAGGAGGAGCCCGCGCCCGAUUAGCUAGUUGGUGAGGUAACGGCUCACCAAGGCAAUGAUCGGUAGCUGGUCUGAGAGGAUGGCCAGCCACACUGGAACUGAGACACGGUCCAGACUCCUACGGGAGGCAGCAGUGGGGAAUCUUGCACAAUGGGCGAAAGCCUGAUGCAGCGACGCCGCGUGGGGGAUGAAGCUUUUCGGAGUGUAAACCCCUUUCGACUGGGACGAAUGCCUCGCAAGAGGAGUGACGGUACCAGUAUAAGAAGCCCCGGCUAACUACGUGCCGGCAGCCGCGGUAAGACGUAGGGGGCCAGCGUUGUUCGGAAUUACUGGGUGUAAAGGGUUC
rnacentral:rRNA from 1 species